AUACGUAGGUGACAAGCGUUAUCCGGAUUUACUGGGCGUAAAGGGCGUGUAGGCGGUCUUGCAAGUCAGAAGUGAAAUUCCUGAGCUCAACUCGGGCGCUGCUUCUGAAACUGCAGGACUUGAGUGCUGGAGGGGAUAGCGGAAUUCCUAGUGGAGCGGUAAAAUGCGCAGAUAUUAGGAAGAACACCGGUGGCGAAGGCGGAUAUCUGGACAGUAACUGACGCUGAGGCGCGAAAUCGUGGGGAGAAAACAGGAUUAGAUACCCGGGUAGUCCACGCCGUACACGAUGAAUACUAGGUGUAGGGGGUAUCGACUCCCUCUGUGCCGCAGUUAACACAAUAAGUAUUCCGCCUGGGGAGUACGGCCGCAAGGUUGAAGCUCAAAUGAAUUGACGGGU
rnacentral:rRNA from 1 species